rnacentral:hammerhead_ribozyme from 1 species
GCACUGCUGAGGAGUCCUAUAUUAGGACGAAAUAUCCAUAUAGUGCUUCCAGGUUUUCCAUGGUGGUCUAGCUUUAAUUGAAUCAUGAUUUCAACCAUUGAGAUUUCUAAAAUCUCCACAAAACCCCUUUUUGGUAAAUUAUACUAGGACGAAACGGCCGUCCAGUGC